rnacentral:rRNA from 1 species
GACGAACGCUGGCGGCGUGCCUAAUACAUGCAAGUAGUACGCAGUUGCGAACGGGUGAGUAACGCGUAGGUAACUACCUAUUAGAGGGGGAUAACUAUUGGAAACGAUAGCUAAUACCGCAUACUUGUAGAUGGACCUGCGUUGUAUUAGCUAGUAGGUAGGGUAAUGGGCUACCUAGGCAACGAUACAUGGCCGACCUUGAGGGGGGGACGGGCACAAUGGGAAUGGAGAAAGGCCCCGACCCCUACCGGGAGCAGGAGGAGGGGAUCAUCGGAAAUGGGGGGAAAGCUGGCCGAGCAAAGCCGGGGGAGUGGAGAAGGGUUUCGGGGCGUAAAACUAUGUUGAUAAGGGAGCGGUACUUAAAGAGAAAGGGACGGCUAACUACGUGCCAGCCGCCGCGGUAAUAC